rnacentral:lncRNA from 1 species
GCGGGCCUGGUGCGCGCGCGCAGAGAGAGAGAGAGAGAGAGAGAGAGAGAGAGAGAGAGAGAGAGAGAGAGAACCCGAGGCAGAGAGAGGGAGAGGGAGAGAGGAGAGCGAGAGCCAACCACGGCCGAGUCAAGAUUCAGCGAUUCCACAGCAAUCGCCCUAAUGACAACAGCCUCAUAAUAUCUCCCCUAAAUCCACAACUUCAGCUGUCUCCCACAGUGGUAGACUAGCAACAGGAGGCCAGAAACCUAGGGACUCUGGGCCUAGGGGAGACUGGAGGAUGCCCACUUUUCCUACAUCCGUGGGUACAACCCCUGGCAUGUCCAACAUCCCCUAAAAGAUACAGAAACUUUAGAGGCCACUUGAGUAAGUGCCCAAGGCCUGAAAGUUCAGUGUUUGCUCAUAAUGUAAAUAACUAUAAUAGAUCAUAAAAUUCUCCAUACAUAAAGCAAUAUCAUAGCCCUGAAAUAGACUCCCCUUGUCCAAAGAACUUAGAGGGUCUUUCCUGCUUGAGGCUACCACAGCCGCCAGGCCAGGCCCGGGCAUUUAUUUAUUCUUAGCUAUGUUGCUUGUGAGAACUUGUAAUCUGCAUCUUGAGGCCAGCCUCCCUUUGUGAGGCUUCUGUAACUAUGGAAGUGUGAUUUACGCAGAUUUGUCCGGGUCAGAGACAUCUUUUCCCUACGCACUGUGUAUAUUUAGACAGGAUUCCGUCUGGUGUUAAAAAGUGUAUAUGUUGAAUGGAUUCACACACAGUAGCCAACAAUGCUCACAUUGUCGGUCCAUGUACAACGCGUAUUGAAACGCAGCGCCCAGACUUCAACUAAUCUGCCCUCAAUAAAGCUGAAAUAAUUAUCCUAA